GACGAACCGUACGAACGUUAUUCGGAAUUACUGGGCUUAAAGGGUGCGUAGGCGGCGCAGUAAGUUGGGUGUGAAAUCCCUCGGCUUAACCGAGGAAUUGCGCCCAAAACUACUGUGCUCGAGGGAGGUAGAGGUGAGCGGAACUUAGGGUGGAGCGGUGAAAUGCGUUGAUAUCCUAAGGAACACCGAAGGCGAAGGCAGUGUCCUGGCGAGUGACUGACGCUGAGGUGCGAAAGCCAGGGGAGCGAACGGG
rnacentral:rRNA from 1 species